AGAGUUUGAUCCUGGCUCAGGAUGAACGCUGGCGGCGUGCUUAACACAUGCAAGUCGAGCGGGAAUUAGUUAGGUGCUUGCACCUAACUAAUUUUAGCGGCGGUAGCGGCGGACGGGCGAGUAACGCGUGGGUAACCUGCCUUAUACAGGGGGAUAACAUAUUGAAAAGUAUGCUAAUACCGCAUAAGCGCACAGCAUCACAUGAUGCAGUGUGAAAAACUCCGGUGGUAUAAGAUGGACCCGCGUCUGAUUAGCUAGUAGGUGAGGUAAUGGCUCACCUAGGCGACGAUCAGUAGCCGACCUGAGAGGGUGAUCGGCCACAUUGGGACUGAGACACGGCCCAAACUCCUACGGGAGGCAGCAGUGGGGAAUAUUGCACAAUGGGGGAAACCCUGAUGCAGCGACGCCGCGUGAAGGAUGAAGGUUUUCGGAUCGUAAACUUCUAUCAGCAGGGACGAUAAUGACGGUACCUGACUAAGAAGCCCCGGCUAACUACGUGCCAGCAGCCGCGGUAAUACGUAGGGGGCAAGCGUUAUCCGGAAUUACUGGGUGUAAAGGGUGCGUAGGCGGUAAUGUAAGUCAGGUGUGAAAGCCCGAAGCUCAACUUCGGGAUUGCACUUGAAACUGUAAGACUAGAGUGCAGGAGAGGGCAAUGGAAUUCCAUGUGUAGCGGUAAAAUGCGUAGAUAUUAGGAGGAACACCCGUGGCGAAGGCGGUUGCCUGGCCUGUAACUGACGCUGAGGCACGAAAGCGUGGGGAGCAAAUAGGAUUAGAUACCCUAGUAGUCCACGCUGUAAACGAUGAAUACUAAGUGUUGGAGAAUUGACCCCUGCAGUGCCGCAGCUAACGCAUUAAGUAUUCCGCCUGGGGAGUACGGUCGCAAGACUGAAACUCAAAGGAAUUGACGGGGACCCGCACAAGCAGCGGAGCAUGUGGUUUAAUUCGAAGCAACGCGAAGAACCUUACCAGGUCUUGACAUCCCUCUGAAUGGCGCUUAGCAGCGCAGGUCUUUCGGGACAGAGGAGACAGGUGGUGCAUGGUUGUCGUCAGCUCGUGUCGUGAGAUGUUGGGUUAAGUCCCGCAACGAGCGCAACCCUUGUCUUUAGUUACCAUCAUUCAAGUUGGGGACUCUAGAGAGACUGCCGGUGAUAAACCGGAGGAAGGUGGGGAUGACGUCAAAUCAUCAUGCCCCUUAUGGCCUGGGCUACAAACGUAAUACAAUGGCGUAUACAAAGGGAUGCGAAAGGGCGACCUGGAGCAAAACUCACAAAGUACGUCUCAGUUCAGAUUGGAGUCUGCAACUCGACUCCAUGAAGGCGGAAUCGCUAGUAAUCGCGGAUCAGCAUGCCGCGGUGAAUACGUUCUCGGGCCUUGUACACACCGCCCGUCA
rnacentral:rRNA from 1 species